rnacentral:rRNA from 1 species
GACGAACGCUGGCGGCGUGCUUAAUACAUGCAAGUCGAACGCAGUGGGGACGGGUGAGUAACACGUGGGUAACCUCCCAUCAGAGGGGAUAACACUUGGAAACAGGUGCUAAACCGAUACUGAUGGAUGGACCCGCGGGGCAUUUGCCAGUUGGUGGGGUAACGGCUCACCAAGGCUACGAUGCAUAGCCGGCCUGAGAGGGUGAUCGGCCACACUGGAACUGAGACACGGCCCAGACUCCUACGGGAGGCAGCAGUAGGGAAUAUUCGGCAAUGGACGAAAGUCUGACCGAGCAACGCCGCGUGAGUGAAGAAGGUUUUCGGAUCGUAAAGCUCUGUUGUUAGGGAGGCGGUAUCUAACCAGAAAGCCCCGGCUAACUACGUGCCAGCAGCCGCGGUAAUAC